UACGUAGGGUGCAAGCGUUAAUCGGAAUUACUGGGCGUAAAGCGUGCGCAGGCGGUUAUGUAAGACAGGUGUGAAACUCCCCGGGCUUAACCUGGGGAACUGCAUUUGUGACUGCAUAGCGUAGAGGUACGGUAGAGGGGGAUGGAAUUCCGCGUGUAGCAGUGAAAUGCGUAGAUAUGCGGAGGACACCGAUGGCGAAGGCAAUCCCCUGGACCUGUGAC
rnacentral:rRNA from 1 species